rnacentral:misc_RNA from 1 species
AUAUUUUGAAUUAAGUAUAUUCAUAAUAUGUUAUCAGACGAAUGUUGUUAAAGAUAUAGGUUGAUAUUUGUGAAGGGAAAGAGUUGCCUCUUUCCCAACAAACAUUGCACACAAGGUGGAUAUGGAUUUUUAAAGAGUGCCAUAAAACACUCGUUUGUGAAUGAUCCUUCCGCAGGUUCACCUACGGAAA